CGGAAAGAUAAGAGGGCCUGUGGGUGGUUGAAAGCGUGAGGGAGCAAGACUGUGUCACAGCACUAGAAAAUGUGAUCUAGCAAGACUGCGGGCAACGGUCCAAGACUCGACCUUCUCAGUGUGAAUAGGAGAGAGUUGUUUCUCUAAUGCAACAAUGGAGAACAUCAAUGUUUCAGAUCUUUCAAACACUCAAAUAGUGGAGAACUUCGAUGUGUAUCUCUGCUGGGCAAUCCACAGCCAUGGAUGCCUGCUGAAUGAGAAUCAUCUCAAGGAAUAUGCUCUAAGUUAGUCCUGUAACUUCAAACAGAAAACUCAGGCAAGUUCGAGACAAAACGCAUUUGAAUUUCCCAAUGUCAGAACUACAUGAUGGAAUUCAAGAUCCUAAUUUGUCUUUUCUUAAAAAAUGUGUUUAAAAAGCCUAGCUAGUCUUUCAAAUAUUUCUAAUAUUGUCUAUGGUCGCAUUUCACCAGUGCAUUCAU